rnacentral:tRNA from 1 species
GUAAAUAUAGUUUAACCAAAACAUUAGAUUGUGAAUCUAAUAUUAGAAGCCCAAUACUUCUUAUUUACC